AGCUGUUCCUUGCUGGUUUCCUUUCAAGUCAUGAUUGAAUUCCCCAUUCUCAUUCACUAUCCGCAAUCGGCCUACUUCUAUUUGAGGAACCAGCCAAUAACACCGUCUCAUGGAAUUUCCGGAGUUGGGCCAGCAUUGCUCCGCAGCAUAUUGCCGCAAACUCGACUUUUUGCCGGUGAAAUGUGAUGCAUGUACAGAACUUUUUUGUCAUGAGCAUAUGUCAUAUUUGAAGCAUAAUUGCCCAAAAUCGGAUGCUAGAAAUGUCCAGGUACCCGUAUGCCCAUUGUGCAAUGCUCCCGUCCCGUCUAAAAGAGGUGAAAUGCCUGAUAUAGCAGUCGGUGCUCAUAUUGACCGGGAUUGUCAGUCAGAUCCAGCCAAAAACCGGAGAAAGGUUUUCAGCAAUAAGUGCAACCUGAAAGGGUGUAAAAAGAAGGAACUGUUUCCUGUCAUUUGCAAGGAUUGCCACUUAAAUUUCUGCAUUAGUCAUAGGCAUCCAACUGAUCAUAAUUGCAACAUGAUAAAAAAAGUAAUUAGAACAAAUGGACCAAAACAGAAGCAUUCAAGCAAUGUUACAAAUUAUGUCGAUGUGGUUCAAGGCCAAAUGAGUGAAGAUGAAGCUCUUGCUCAUGCUUUGGCUUUGUCUCUUGAAGAAAAUAACCAUCAGUCUUCUUCAAAUAAUAGUGAACAAAGUACAUUAAGAAAUGGUGGUAAUUCAUUGACUGAAUGGAAGAAAAAACAAAUCACCAAACCUUCAACAUCCACUCAUUCCGAAUCGUGUUCAAUUUCCUAAUAAUACUCUGAUAAAAGCAAUCUGUGAUGCAGAAAGUGGUAAUAAGAUCUACCGAACUAUGGACGAAAUCUUGAAUGCACUUCAAGAAUUAGAAGAAAAAGAAAAUUUAAAGUUUAAAGAAGCAAAUGAAAUCAACGUUUACAUUGCCCCUCUCCCUAACAAGUUACGACACCGAUGAAGAUAAUGCCGAUGAAGAUGAGGGAGGUACUGUAAAUAAUUUGAAUGGGCAUCAGUUGUUAGCAGAUGGUGAAUUUGUUUUGAGCAGCAAAGAGGGAGAUUUAUUAAGGUUGGUUGAGAAACAUAACACCCUUUUAGAGUAUAGUUCCGCAAGUCCCACAGCAAUUCAUUCUCCCAACAUAACUUCCACAUCACAAUGUCCACAGAAGAAACUGAAGCUAACACAGAAGCAUCUAACCUCCAAGAUAGUAAUGGAAAAUUCUAGAAGAAAAGAGUGAAAUCUUACAAUUUUUGGGUAAAAGAUGAUCUACCUUUCUAUAAUAUUGGUUGCAAAUUUUUGAAAUUCCGAACUCACCUUUGAACCAAUCAUGUAGACCGAUGACUCCACUAAAACUGUUCAAGCUAUUUUUCAAUGAUAACUUCUAGAAAGAAAUCGUGAAACAAUCCGUGAUAUAUGCGGUACAAAAAGGAAAAUGGAAUUACCAAUUUUCGGUUUAAGAAAUUAAGGCUUUCUUGGGAAUUUUGAUUUUGAGUGGAUACUGCAUUGUCCCACGAAGGCGGAUGUACUAGGACGAGAAACCUGAUGUGCAUAAUGCCGCAUUUUCUUCAACUCUUUAUAGAAACAGGUUUGAAUAAAUUAUGAGAUAUAUCCAUUCAAAGAAUAUUAACAGACUCAAGAAGAACAAUAAACUUUCAAAAGUGAGACCUUACUUGGAGCACUUGAAACUUUCUCUCAAGAAAUUUGCAGUUUGGUAGUCAAGAGUUCAGUAUAGAUGAAGCGAUGAUUCCAUACUUUGGUCAUCAUGGUCUAAAACAAUGUAUUAGGGGAAAGCCAAUAUGUUUUUACUACAAGGCAAGGUGUCAUAACUUCAAACAAGGCUAUCUGGUGAACUUCUAAAUUUACCAAGGUGCUAAGGGUGCUGAAAAUGUUUACAACCUCACCAUGUAUUUACUGACAAUUAUUUCACAUCCUUGAGUGCUGCAAAGGAAUUCACUAAGAGAUCAACUGCAUUGACUGGAACAAAUAGGACUGACAGUAUUGGAAAUAGCAAUCUAAUGGAUGUAUCUAUUAUGGAAAAAAAGCCAGGGGAUUUUAUGAUGUGUACUAUGAAAAGAAGCAUAGCAACAUUUUGCUCUGCCGAUGGAAUGGCAACUCCAUGGUUUCCUUAUUGUCUAAUUGUUUAGCAGUGAGCCCCACCAAUUUUGCAACAAGAUAUUCAGCCACAGAAAAAUAAGAAAAUUCAAGUGAGCCAACCCCAUGUGGUUAGGUCCUAUAACAAAAACAUGGGAGAAACUGAUCGCAUGAAUCAAAAUGUAUCAACAUACCGAAUAUCUCUAAGAUCUAAACAAUGGUGUUAGUCAAUAUUUCUAUGGGGAAUCGACAUUUCUUUACAAAAUGCAUGGAUCUUACACCAAAAAUCAGUAAGAGCAAGAUGUAAGCAGUCAUUAGAUUUCUUGGAAUUCAAAAGAAGUGUGGCAAGAGAGUUAAUGGAAAAAACACAACUCCAAGGAUCAGAACAGGGAACAUUUCAUCAACCGUGGCUAGUUGGACUUCAAGCGGAAUCAGGUAUGACAGCUUAGGACAUUUUUGGACUCACAAACAAUCUGCUGUGAAUUUUGCCACUACCAUACUAUGAUGAAAUGUGAAAAAUGUUCAUUGGCCUUGCAACAAAAAUGUUUUGCAAAUUUUCAGUCGAAUAGUUACUAGUUACCUAUCAUAUAAUAUUUUUGUAAUCACCUAACAAAAGAAAUAAAAAUUUUAUAAAACA
rnacentral:misc_RNA from 1 species